rnacentral:rRNA from 1 species
CCCUUAGAUGUUCUGGGCCGCACGCGCGCUACACUGACGAAUGCAACGAGCUUAUAACCUUGGCCGAAAGGUCUGGGUAAUCUCCAAAUUUCGUCGUGAUGGUGAUAGAUUAUUGCAAUUAUUAAUCUUCAACGAGGAAUGCCUAGUAAGCGCAAGUCAUCAGCUUGCGUUGAUUACGUCCCUGCCCUUUGUACACACCGCCCGUCGCUCCUACCGAUUGAAUGGUCCGGUGAAGCGUUCGGACCGUGGCCUUUGGACGGUUCGCCGUCUGUUGGCUGCGGGAAGUUCGUUAACCUUAUCAUUUAGAGGAAGGAGAANUCGUAACA